rnacentral:misc_RNA from 1 species
UCCGGUUUGUCACCGGCAGUCUCGUUAAAGUGCCCAACUGAAUGAUGGCAAUUAACGACAAGGGUUGCGCUCGUUGCGGGACUUAACCCAACAUCUCACGACACGAGCUGACGACAGCCAUGCAGCACCUGUGUCCAGGUUCCCUUUCGGGCACCUCCACCUCUCAGCAGAGUUCCUGGCAUGUCAAGGGUAGGUAAGGUUUUUCGCGUUGCAUCGAAUUAAUCCACAUCAUCCACCGCUUGUGCGGGUCCCCGUCAAUUCCUUUGAGUUUUAAUCUUGCGACCGUACUCCCCAGGCGGCCAACUUCACGCGUUAGCUUCGUUACUAAGGAAGUCUCCUUCCCCAACAACUAGUUGGCAUCGUUUAGGGCGUGGACUAC